rnacentral:rRNA from 1 species
UACAGAGGUCCCGAGCGUUGUUCGGAUUCAUUGGGCGUAAAGGGUGCGUAGGCGGCAUGGCAAGUCGGGUGUGAAAUCCCGGGGCUCAACCCCGGAACUGCACUCGAUACUGCCGUGCUCGAGUACUGGAGAGGAGACUGGAAUUUACGGUGUAGCAGUGAAAUGCGUAGAUAUCGUAAGGAAGACCGGUGGCGAAAGCUAGUCUCUGGACAGUUACUGACGCUGAGGCACGAAGGCCAGGGGAGCAAACGGG